AAAAACACCUGGCAGGGGAAACGCCAUGAUCAGUAAGGUGAUUUUUCCAGGGCGAGACUCAUCCGUUGCACUUGGGCUGUGCUGACCCCUGCAAUUUCCCCAAAUGCGGGAAACAACUGAAUAAUUUGUGGUAGUCAGGGACUAUGUUUGUGCUCUCCCCUGA
ensembl:snRNA U1 U1 spliceosomal RNA